GCCGCGGUGUUGGAAUUGGUAGACAAGCACGGCUUAGAACCGUGUGCUGUAAAAGGCGUGAGGGUUCAAGUCCCCCCCGCGGCA
rnacentral:tRNA from 4 species